AACAACGAAGAGUUUGAUCCUGGCUCAGGAUGAACGCUAGCGACAGGCUUAACACAUGCAAGUCGAGGGGCAGCGGGGUUGAAGCUUGCUUCAAUCGCCGGCGACCGGCGCACGGGUGAGUAACACGUAUGCAACCUGCCCGUCACAGGGGAAUAACCGGAAGAAAUUCCGACUAAUUCCGCGUAACACCAUUCCGGGGCAUCCCGGGGCGGUCAAAGGAGCAAUCCGGUGGCGGAUGGGCAUGCGGCGCAUUAGCUAGUCGGCGGGGUAACGGCCCACCGAGGCGACGAUGCGUAGGGGUUCUGAGAGGAAGGUCCCCCACACUGGUACUGAGACA
rnacentral:rRNA from 1 species